rnacentral:rRNA from 1 species
UGGGGAAUAUUGCACAAUGGGCGCAAGCCUUAUGCAGCCAUGCCGCGUGUGUGAAGAAGGCCUUCGGGUUGUAAAGCACUUUCAGCGGGGAGGAAGGCGAUAAGGUUAAUAACCUUGUCGAUUGACGUUACCCGCAGAAGAAGCACCGGCUAACUCCGUGCCAGCAGCCGCGGUAAUACGGAGGGUGCAAGCGUUAAUCGGAAUUACUGGGCGUAAAGCGCACGCAGGCGGUCUGUCAAGUCGGAUGUGAAAUCCCCGGGCUCAACCUGGGAACUGCAUUCGAAACUGGCAGGCUAGAGUCUUGUAGAGGGGGGUAGAAUUCCAGGUGUAGCGGUGAAAUGCGUAGAGAUCUGGAGGAAUACCGGUGGCGAAGGCGGCCCCCUGGACAAAGACUGACGCUCAGGUGCGAAAGCGUGGGGAGCAAACAGG